rnacentral:rRNA from 1 species
UGUAAGAAAGUAAAUAAGGGCGUAUGGGGAAUGCCUAGGCUCUUGGAGGCGAUGAAAGACGUGGUAAGCUGCGAUAAGCUUCGGGGAUUUGCAAACAAGAUUUGAUCCGGAGAUUUCUGAAUGGGACAACCCGCUGGGUAGAAGAUCCAGCAUCCGGUAACGGAAGCCAACCCUCUGAACUGAAACAUCUUAGUAGGAGGAGGAAAAGAAAGAAACAUCGAUUUCCUAAGUAGCGGCGAGCGAACGGGAAACAGCCUAAACCGGUUUUGUUACGGCAAAGCCGGGGUUGUAGGACUGCAACAUUCAAUUAACAAUGAACUGGAACGUUCUGGAAAGUUCGUCCAUAGAGGGUGAAAGACCCGUACAGGUAAGUUCGUUAAGCGAUAGCAGUAUCCUGAGUAGGGCGGGACACGAGGAAUCCUGUCUGAAUCUGCCGGGACCACCCGGUAAGGCUAAAUACUCCCAAGAGACCGAUAGUGAACCAGUACCGUGAGGGAAAGGUGAAAAGAACCCCGAACAGGGGAGUGAAAUAGAACCUGAAACCAUACGCUUACAACCUGUCGGAGCAGCUUCGUGCUGUGACGGCGUGCCUAUUGAAUAAUGAGCCUACGAGUUACUAAUCACUGGCAAGGUUAAGUGCAUGAAUGCACGGAGCCGAAGCGAAAGCGAGUCUGAACAGGGCGCUUAGUCAGUGGUUGUAGACGCGAAACCUUGCGAUCUACCCUUGAGCAGGUUGAAGGUUGGGUAAAACCAACUGGAGGACCGAACGAAUAAGCGUUGAAAAGCUUCUCGAUGACUUGAGGGUAGGGGUGAAAGGCUAAUCAAGCUGGGAAAUAGCUCGUACUCCCCGAAAUGCCUUUAGGGGCAGCGUUGUAAUUAAGAGUCUACUGGAGGUAGAGCUACUGAUUGGAUGCGGGGGCUUCACCGCCUACCAAAUCCUGACAAACUCCGAAUGCCAGUAGUAUGAUUUACAGCAGUGAGCGACCGGGUGCUAAUGUCCGGUUACGAGAGUGGAACAACACAGACCAGCAACUAAGGUCCCGAAGAGUAUACUAAGUUGAUCUAACGAUGUUUUGCUGCAGAGACAGCUAGGAUGUUAGCUUGGAAGCAGCUAUUCAUUCAAAGAGUGCGUAACAGCUCACUAGUCGAGCGGCAAAGCGUGGAUAAUAAACGGGCAUCAAGUAUACCACCGAAGUUCUGGGCACGAGAGUGCGGUAGGGGAGCAUUCCAUUGACGUCGAAGCCAUUCCGUGAGGAUAGGUGGAGUUUAUGGAAAAGCAAAUGUAGGCAUGAGUAACGAUAAUGCGGGAGAGUAACCCGCACACCGCAAGACCAAGGUUUCCUGAUCAACGCUAAUCGGAUCAGGGUUAGUCGGGUCCUAAGGGUAAGCCGAACGGUGAUCUCGAUGGAUAAUCGGUUAAUAUUCCGAUACUGACAUAUACCUCGAUGGAGAGACGAAGGAACGUAAGUGACGCCGCCUGACGGAAUAGGUGGUUAAAGGGCUUAGGUAUAGGGACAGAUUAAGAGUUAGUCCUUGCUGAAACCUGACAGUACGGAGCGGCUACGGCCAAUCUGAUAGUUCACCCAAGUAGACUUCCAAGAAAAUCUUCUAAGUUUAAGUAUAUGUUACCCGUACCGUAAACCGACACAGGUGGUCGAGGAGAGUAUCCUAAGGUGCUCGAGUGAAUCACGGUUAAGGAACUAGGCAAAUUAACCCCGUAACUUCGGGAUAAGGGGUCCCUACGCGAGUAGGGCGCAGCGAAGAGGUCCAGGCGACUGUUUAUCAAAAACACAGGGCUCUGCAAAUUCGAAAGAAGACGUAUAGGGCCUGACACCUGCCCGGUGCUGGAAGGUUAAGAGGGGAUGUCAUCGCAAGAGAAGCAUUGAAUCGAAGCCCCAGUAAACGGCGGCCGUAACUAUAACGGUCCUAAGGUAGCGAAAUUCCUUGUCGGGUAAGUUCCGACCUGCACGAAUGGUGUAACGAUCUGGACACUGUCUCAACCGUGAGCUCGGUGAAAUUGUAGUCCCGGUGAUGAUGCCGGGUACCCGCAACGGGACGAAAAGACCCCGUGAACCUUUACUAUAGCUUAACGCUGAAUUUGGGUACAUAAUGUGUAGGAUAGGCCGGAGACUGUGAAUCGGGCACGCCAGUGUUCGUGGAGUCAACGUUGAAAUACGGCCCUUUGUGUACUUGGAUUCUAACCCUGCAAAGGGGACACCGUUUGGUGGGUAGUUUGACUGGGGUGGUCGCCUCCAAAAGCGUAACGGAGGCUUCCCAAGGUACCCUCAGCACGAAUGGUAACCGUGCGCAGAGUGCAAUAGCAUAAGGGUGCUUGACUGUGAGACCUACAAGUCGAUCAGGUGCGAAAGCAGGGUAUAGUGAUCCGGUGGUUCUGUGUGGACUGGCCAUCGCUCAAAGGAUAAAAGGUACUCCGGGGAUAACAGGCUGAUCGCCGCCAAGAGCUCAUAUCGACGCGGCGGUUUGGCACCUCGAUGUCGGCUCGUCACAUCCUGGGGCUGGAGAAGGUCCCAAGGGUUCGGCUGUUCGCCGAUUAAAGUGGCACGCGAGCUGGGUUCAGAACGUCGUGAGACAGUUCGGUCUCUAUCUGUUGCGGGCGUAGGAAAAUUGAGGGGUCCUGACUUUAGUACGAGAGGACCGAGUUGGACGAACCUCCGGUGUAUCGGUUAUGCUGCCAAGUGUACCGCCGAGUAGCCGCGUUCGGUUUGGAUAAGCGCUGAAAGCAUCUAAGCGCGAAGCCAUCCCCAAGAUAAGUUUUCCCUUGAGGGGCGUAGGAGACUACUACGUUGAUAGGCUGCAGGUGUAAAGACAGUAAUGUCAAAGCCGAGCAGUACUAAUUACCCGAUCGGCUUUUUUA